AUUGAACGCUGGCGGCAGGCCUAACACAUGCAAGUCGAGCGAGCGGCGGACGGGUGAGGAGUGUAUGGGGAUCUGCCCGAUAGAGGGGGAUAACUACUGGAAACGGUGGCUAAUACCGCAUACUAUCGGAUGACCCCAUAUGGGAUUAGCUAGUAGGUGGGGUAACGGCUCACCUAGGCGACGAUCGCUAGCUGGUCUGAGAGGAAGCUCGGCCACACUGGGACUGGGACACGGCCCAGACGCCUACGGGAGGCAGCAGUGGGGAAUAUGGCACAAUUGGCGCAAGCCUGAUGCAGCCAUGCCGCGUGUGUGAAGAAGGCCUUAGGGUUGUAAUGUACUUUCAGCGGGGAGGCGUUACCCGCAGAAGAAGCACCGGCUAACUCCGUGCCAGCAGCCGCGGUAAUUC
rnacentral:rRNA from 1 species